rnacentral:rRNA from 1 species
AUGGGGUGCAAGGGGUCGAAGCACGCGCUGCAUGGCGGCGGCGGCGGCGGGGGCGCGUUGGAGCCGCGGAAGUGCGCGUCGGGGCUCGUGGCGCGCCACUCCGUCGCGCUCCGGUCGUCCACGCUCGGCACGCUCAGCCUCGACCGCGCCACGGCCGCUGCGGCGGUUUCUUUCGCCGGAGGGGAGGGCGCGGGGACGGCAGCGAGGUCCGGGAAGGAGGGCGCGGCGGGGAGGUGCCGGUCCUUCGCCGGGUGGUUCCCGGCGUCGCCCAAGGUGGAGCCGGGCCAGCCGGUGAAGCGGCAGAGGCUGGCGCCCCCGCGGACGCCCACCAAGACGCCCGCGCGUGCCCCCGAGGAGAUCAACGUGUGGGAGCUCAUGGACGGGCUCGACGACGACGACGCGGACGAGGAAGAAUACGGCGAUUGCCUGGACGGGCAGGUUCCGUCGGCGUGCGGAUCGCCGGAGUUCGACCCUGACGUCCUGUCGGCGUUCCGGGAGGCGCUCGCCGAGCUGUCGCCUCCUCCUACGGACGCCGACGUCGUGAGCGACGGAGGAGCCGUCGUCAAGGAGGAAAUCGAGGUGUUCGCCGACGUCGCGAGCGACGGAGGAGCCGUCGUCAACAAGGAGGAAAUCCAGGUGUUCACCGACGUCGCGAGCGACGGAGGAACCGUCGUCAACAAGGAGGAAAUCCAGGUGUUCACCGACGUCGCGAGCGACGGAGGAGAGAUCGUCAAGAAGGAGGAAAUCCAGGAGCUCGCCGACGUCGCGAGCGACGGAGGGGCCGUCGUCAAAAAGGAGGAAAUCCAGGUGCUCGCCGACGUCGCGAGCGACGGAGGGGCCGUCGUCAAGAAGGAGGAAAUCCAGGUGUUCGCCGAUGAUGCGAGCGACGGAGGAGCCAUCGUCAAGAAGGAGGAAAUCCAGGUGUUCGCCGGCGUAGUGCGGGCGCGACUCGACGUGCUCCAGGGAAGGAUCGACAGCAGGUCACAAAAGAAUCCCCCGCCGCCGCCGGAGAGCGCGAGGCGGGUGGUCGUGUACCUGACGAGCCUCCGCGGCAUCCGGCAGACGUACGAGGACUGCUGGGCGGCGAGCACCAUCCUGUCCAGCUACGGCGUGCACGUGGACGAGCGCGACCUGUCGAUGCACGCGGGGUACAAGGAGGAGCUGCGCGACGCGCUCGGCGCAGGCGCCCUCGCCGGCGUGCUGCCGCAGGUGUUCGUCGACGGGUGGCACCUGGGCGGCGCCGAGGAGGUCCGGCGCAUGCACGAGUCCGGGGAGCUGGCGGAGGCCCUCGAGGCCUGCGAGGCGGCGCCGGGCGCUGCCGCCGGCGGGAAAGAGGGGCCGGGAGGCUUCGCUGCGGAGCCGUGCGGCGGGUGCGGGGGCGCGCGGUUCGUGCCGUGCGACGUCUGCUCCGGCAGCUGCAAGGUGUUCGUCGAGGACGAGGACGGUCCCGGGGCGUUCAGGCGGUGCCCGGACUGCAACGAGAACGGGCUACUGAGAUGUCCAAUCUGUUAA